AUUGAACGCUGGCGGCAGGCCUAACACAUGCAAGUCGAGCGGGGUUUUCGGACCUAGCGGCGGACGGGUGAGUAAUGCGUAGGAAGCUGCCCGAUAGAGGGGGAUACCAGUUGGAAACGACUGUUAAUACCGCAUAAUGUCUACGGACCAAAGUGUGGGACCUUCGGGCCACAUGCUAUCGGAUGCGCCUACGUGGGAUUAGCUAGUUGGUGAGGUAAUGGCUCACCAAGGCGACGAUCUCUAGCUGGUUUGAGAGGAUGAUCAGCCACACUGGAGCUAGGAACCGGUCCAGACUCAUACGGGAGGAAGCAGUGGGGAAGAUUGGCCAACGGGCGCAAGCCUGAUCCAGCCAUGCCGCGUGUGUGAAGAAGGCCUUCGGGUUGUAAAGCACUUUCAGCGAGGAGGAAGGGUGGUGCCUAAUACGUAUCAACUGUGACGUUACUCGCAGAAGAAGCACCGGCUAACUCCGUGCCAGCCGCCGCCGUAAGAC
rnacentral:rRNA from 1 species